UAAUAAUAAUAAUAAUUACAUUUUAAUCAAUAGAAAUAAAACACAAGUUGAAAAAAUAUUUACUACAUUGUAAUAUUUAUGGCUGAUUGGCUCAAGCUUGUUAGCAAAGUAGCUUGCUAUGUAGAUACAGUAGGUGAUUUUCUUGACCCCAGUUCAGUUUAAAAAUAUUCAGAUUAACACAUCUAUUUAUUUAUUUAUUUAGUUAGUUAGUUAGUUAGUUAGUUAGUUAGUUAGUUAGUCCAAGCCAGGGUUUUCAAAUAGCAUCUAGACCAGCACAUUUAAACAAGAAAACUGGAAUUAAAUUUAGUUUUUUCUUACUGGAAGAGAUGUAACACAAAUCCAGAGGCAUAUAUGUUGGGAUAUGUGUUAAUGCAAUGUUUUUGCUUGUUCAGUGUGCUCUUUUAAUGUUGUUGCAGGAUCAUAUCAUCUUUAAAUUCAGUGGCUUAAACCUAGGCUAGUUAUACGGUGUGAAACCAGUGCGUAUAUACAGUAGGUUAAUUAAAAAUAAUAAAUAAUGUACAAAAAUAUAAAUCAUUCAUGCACCUCAAUAUAGAGUUAAAAGCAGAUAUAGUGAAUGAUUUAUAGAAGUGUUUCUGUUACAGCUGUUAGUUUCAGGUGGUCUGAUACUGAGAAUCAACCAGCAAAACAAAAUUUGCAAACAGAAACUUUUCUCUCAAUUCCACAGACAUGUCUGUAUUUUUUUAUGCCAUUGUUUGUGUUGGGUUUGCUCUCUCACUCUACUUUAGUUGGAUUAUUUUCUGAGUGAAUCACUGGGUCUCUUUAAACACAGCUCACAUCAGGGGUGUGGUGAUAAACCGGUCUAACGAGAUCCAAAAAAACAGAAAUUUGACGGUUUCCAUUAGAAUUUACUGGUGUGGAUGAUGUCAUCACACUUUGAGGAACAAUGUCCCGCCCCCUCUACUGUAUGCACACAUUUAAGGUUUGCAUAUUUUAUUUCUUGUCCAUCCAACCUCAUCCAUCAUGUAUUAGUAUUUGAGUGACACAGAGCCGUUUAUAGAAACCCAACUGUCCGCUGUUGCUGUGUAUAAUUACAGAGAAAAAAGGGUGUUUCACCCUGAGCACAACCAAAAACAUCUACUUCUCCUUUACUGCUUUUACGCUGAGCGCUCCAUGAUCUGUGGAGACGAGCAUCCUCUCAGGACUUAAGAAAGAAUGCAAAUAUCCUUACCUGUAAAGUGACACCUGCUAUAUAAUCAUCAGUUGUAGAUAAUUAAUUUAUUAAAUAAAGACAUCUAAACUCAGUUAUUGAUAUUGUACCGUGUAUAUUUUGUGUAUAUACAGUCUGUAUUGUAUAAUACAAAAACAUAUUAAAAUUUGUCAUUUUAAGUUCUUGGCUAUUGCUCCAGUGUUAUUAUGGUUUGAACGUAAAACUAAAAACAUAAUAAACGUGUAAUUUUGUAGAUAAAUAGAAACAAGUU